GACGAACGCUGGCGGCGCGCUUAACACAUGCAAGUCGAACGGAAAGGCCUGCUUUCCCUUGUGGAUUGCGGGUACUCGAGUGGCGAACGGGUGAGUAACACGUGAGUGAUCUGCCCCCAACUUGGGUAUAAGCCUGGGAAACUGGGUCUAAUUCCCGAUAGGACUGCAGGGUGGUGCCUGUGGUGGAAAACGAUUUUCUAGUGGUUGGGGAUGAGCUCGCGGCCUAUCAGCUUGUUGGUGGGGUAAUGGCCUACCAAGGCGGCGACGGGUAGCCGGCCUGAGAGGGUGGACGGCCACAUUGGGACUGGGAUACGGCCCAGACUCCUACGGGAGGCAGCAGUGGGGAAUAUUGCACAAUGGGCGGAAGCCUGAUGCAGCGACGCCGCGUGGGGGAUGACGGCCUUCUGGUUGUAAACUCCUUUCGACCGCGAGGAAGCCACCUGGUUGGAAGGGUGGUGACGGUAGUGGUAGAAGAAGCACCGGCUAACUACGUG
rnacentral:rRNA from 1 species